CGCCCCAACACUUCUCAUUUUUCUUUUCCUUCUUAUCCAUUUUGGUCGCCUUGCCGCGCUCCUCGUCCAGUAGUAUUUCGUUUGCUUUUUCUUAUUUCUUUCUUCUUCACUCAUUCUUCCUCUUCGGGUGCUGUGUUCUUAUCACCAUAUGCACCCCUGCUCUCCACCACCGGCGCACCUUCUCCUCUUUCUUAGUUUUACACCGACUACUUGAAUUACAGCGAUGGAUGAGGCUUUAUGGGCUUCGGCGGGCGAUGCACACCGUUAAUUACUAUCUUAAAAUUAUGUAUUACAAACCCAUUCUAGGAGGUUUUUUCAACUUAUUUUUUCCUGCUUCUCGAUGCAUAAAUAUUUGAUUUUCCAAAAAUAUUAGAUGAUAGUGUUUAUGCAUCUGUUUGUGACUAUAUGUAUAUGUCAUUGUGUCUAUGUAUAUUCGUCUAUGACUAUUUGUAUGCUAAUUUUUGUUCACAGAUGCAAAUUCCUUCAAAAUUGUUCGUACUAAUCCUCAAAUAGUUUUCAUGAGGUAAACAUUUGAGGAGUGUCUUCAUCUUUCUCAUAAACUUUAGGAACAGAGACCCAAAAAUCCAUUUUAUGUUUGUCAAUUGCAAUAACCCUGAUCAUUAAUUCUCUACCUAAUUGUCUAUAGAUGAAAAAGAAAUUAUCCCUUUGUUUUUUGCAAAUUUGGUUUGGAAAAUUUAGAAUUCAUAUCAAUGUUGAACUCAUUUGAAUCUUUGAAAGAAAUGCAAAUUAAUUUAAUUAUGAUGAAAUAUCAGUUUACCUAUUUCCUUUUUGGUUAUGAGUCGAAGAAUGUGCAACUUUUGUAGAAAAGCACAAAGAGAGCUCGAGCUCUGAUAUUGAUGAAGUCAACGAAUGUGAGGUGAAUGUUGUUGCUCUACUUCAUCUUAUUCAAGGUAAGUUGUAAGCCCUAAGUAGAAAUUCUAUUAUAUGAUAUGAAUUGAUGAUUCUGUAGGAUGCAAAAGGAAAAAUUUCUCUUUUGUGAAGCUUAAUUAUGUAUGGGUUUUUUACUAAGCUUAAUAACUGUUUGAUAAAAUGAUUCAAUGAACAAACACAAUGUAUAAUGUGUCUGGUAAGCUUCAAAUUUAUGAUUCUAUAUCUUAUUAGUCUAGCUCUGCUAAAAAAAAUUGUGCUUUGACUAUCUUUCUCAAUUGGAUUUCAGUUUCCAACUUCACAAUCGAUAUGGAUUAUAACUUCUUUUCAGUAGAAAAUUGAACUUUACACUUUGAUAGAAUAAUAAUAUUGUGUAACUUCAUUCCAUUUUAUCCUGUACUAACAUUUUGUUCUCUUUUUACUUUGAUUUUGUGUCUAUGAAUUGAAUUUCCAAGUCCUUAGCUUAUAAUCGAUUAGAUUUAUUAAAUUUAGGUUAGUAAUCAUUUUUAAUUACUUUCUGGUUAGUAAGAAGUAAUAUUUGAAUUGUAGAGAUUUAAUAUGUUAUAUUUUGGUGAUUUUUAUGUAGUAUAUCAUUAUUUUCUACUAAUACUCUAAAUUUAGUGGGAUUUUAUGGAAACAUCGAUUUGUUGGCAUGAAUUUUUGAUGAUUUCGCAUUCACCCGUGUAACUGUCAAUCGUAUUCUAUUAGCAUCUCUAAUUCGGUGUUAUUUAAUAUUAUUUUUUGUGAAUAAUCACUAAUGAAAUUAUUUUGUGGUCAUUUUAAUUAUGUAUGUCGACAUGUUCUUGCAAAAGUGGAACCACAAGCGGUUGAAUGAGUCAAGUCGGCUAAACGCCAACUUUUCCAUAAUGAGACACUCCUAUAUUUCUUCAGAGUAUUAGCCUGUUCACUUGAUGGUUCAUUUCUUCCUAUGCUUGCUGGUAAGAUGCCAAAUCACCCAUUAAGUAGAACCCUCGGUUACCACAAGGUGGUGUUUUGGUCGGAAAAUGGAAUAAGUAAUCGAUUUUGAAAGAAUUUGGUGAAGAGUUGCCUGGUGUCAGGAGUUGCUCACUGGUAACCAUUAAUGACAUGUGAUGAUCUAUCCAAAGAGUCAUGUGGGGAAGAAAUGGAAUCAUUCAUCACCAUAAUUCAGGUCUCAUUUUCAAGCAACAAAUCAACAGUUGAGGGUUGGUAUACUUUAUUGGGUUUUCUUAUAGUGGUAGCCGUCCAACAAGAAUGGUAUGAAGGAAUGAAUGAAAAUUAUUCAUUCUGUUGCCAAAUGGCAUGGAAUGGACCAUUUCAUUCUUCGUAUUUUGUGUUCGAAAAAUUAUUUCCAGCUUUUUAUCUUCUAACAUUGUUCAAACCAUCACCAACGGCGCAACAAAAUUCCUUCUAUUAUCUCAA